GGGUUGUGAGGUUAAGCGACUAAGCGUACACGGUGGAUGCCCUGGCAGUCAGAGGCGAUGAAGGGCGUGCUAAUCUGCGAUAAGCGCCGGUAAGGUGAUAUGAACCGUUAUAACCGGCGAUACCCGAAUGGGGAAACCCAGUGUGAUUCGUCACACUAUCAUUAACUGAAUCCAUAGGUUAAUGAGGCGAACCGGGGGAACUGAAACAUCUAAGUACCCCGAGGAAAAGAAAUCAACCGAGAUUCCCCCAGUAGCGGCGAGCGAACGGGGAGGAGCCCAGAGCCUGAAUCAGCAUAUGUGUUAGUGGAAGCGUCUGGAAAGGCGCGCGAUACAGGGUGACAGCCCCGUACACAAAAGCGCAUGUGCUGUGAGCUCGAUGAGUAGGGCGGGACACGUGGUAUCCUGUCUGAAUAUGGGGGGACCAUCCUCCAAGGCUAAAUACUCCUGACUGACCGAUAGUGAACCAGUACCGUGAGGGAAAGGCGAAAAGAACCCCGGCGAGGGGAGUGAAAAAGAACCUGAAACCGUGUACGUACAAGCAGUGGGAGCACCCUUUGGGGUGUGACUGCGUACCUUUUGUAUAAUGGGUCAGCGACUUAUAUUCUGUAGCAAGGUUAACCGCAUAGGGGAGCCGGAGGGAAACCGAGUCUUAAUUGGGCGUUAAGUUGCAGGGUAUAGACCCGAAACCCGGUGAUCUAGCCAUGGGCAGGUUGAAGGUUGGGUAACACUAACUGGAGGACCGAACCGACUAAUGUUGAAAAAUUAGCGGAUGACCUGUGGCUGGGGGUGAAAGGCCAAUCAAACCGGGAGAUAGCUGGUUCUCCCCGAAAGCUAUUUAGGUAGCGCCUCGUGAAUUCAUCUCCGGGGGUAGAGCACUGUUUCGGCUAGGGGGCCAUCCCGGCUUACCAACCCGAUGCAAACUGCGAAUACCGGAGAAUGUUAUCACGGGAGACACACGGCGGGUGCUAACGUCCGUCGUGAAGAGGGAAACAACCCAGACCGCCAGCUAAGGUCCCAAAGUCAUGGUUAAGUGGGAAACGAUGUGGGAAGGCCCAGACAGCCAGGAUGUUGGCUUAGAAGCAGCCAUCAUUUAAAGAAAGCGUAAUAGCUCACUGGUCGAGUCGGCCUGCGCGGAAGAUGUAACGGGGCUAAACCAUGCACCGAAGCUGCGGCAGCGACACUGUGUGUUGUUGGGUAGGGGAGCGUUCUGUAAGCCUGCGAAGGUGGCCUGUGAGGGUUGCUGGAGGUAUCAGAAGUGCGAAUGCUGACAUAAGUAACGAUAAAGCGGGUGAAAAGCCCGCUCGCCGGAAGACCAAGGGUUCCUGUCCAACGUUAAUCGGGGCAGGGUGAGUCGACCCCUAAGGCGAGGCCGAAAGGCGUAGUCGAUGGGAAACGGGUUAAUAUUCCCGUACUUGGUGUUACUGCGAAGGGGGGACGGAGAAGGCUAUGUUGGCCGGGCGACGGUUGUCCCGGUUUAAGCGUGUAGGCUGGUUUUCCAGGCAAAUCCGGAAAAUCAAGGCUGAGGCGUGACGACGAGGCACUACGGUGCUGAAGCAACAAAUGCCCUGCUUCCAGGAAAAGCCUCUAAGCAUCAGGUAACAUCAAAUCGUACCCCAAACCGACACAGGUGGUCAGGUAGAGAAUACCAAGGCGCUUGAGAGAACUCGGGUGAAGGAACUAGGCAAAAUGGUGCCGUAACUUCGGGAGAAGGCACGCUGACAUGUAGGUGAAGUGAUUUACUCAUGGAGCUGAAGUCAGUCGAAGAUACCAGCUGGCUGCAACUGUUUAUUAAAAACACAGCACUGUGCAAACACGAAAGUGGACGUAUACGGUGUGACGCCUGCCCGGUGCCGGAAGGUUAAUUGAUGGGGUCAGCGCAAGCGAAGCUCCUGAUCGAAGCCCCGGUAAACGGCGGCCGUAACUAUAACGGUCCUAAGGUAGCGAAAUUCCUUGUCGGGUAAGUUCCGACCUGCACGAAUGGCGUAAUGAUGGCCAGGCUGUCUCCACCCGAGACUCAGUGAAAUUGAACUCGCUGUGAAGAUGCAGUGUACCCGCGGCAAGACGGAAAGACCCCGUGAACCUUUACUAUAGCUUGACACUGAACAUUGAGCCUUGAUGUGUAGGAUAGGUGGGAGGCUUUGAAGCGUGGACGCCAGUCUGCGUGGAGCCGACCUUGAAAUACCACCCUUUAAUGUUUGAUGUUCUAACGUGGACCCGUGAUCCGGGUUGCGGACAGUGUCUGGUGGGUAGUUUGACUGGGGCGGUCUCCUCCUAAAGAGUAACGGAGGAGCACGAAGGUUGGCUAAUCCUGGUCGGACAUCAGGAGGUUAGUGCAAUGGCAUAAGCCAGCUUGACUGCGAGCGUGACGGCGCGAGCAGGUGCGAAAGCAGGUCAUAGUGAUCCGGUGGUUCUGAAUGGAAGGGCCAUCGCUCAACGGAUAAAAGGUACUCCGGGGAUAACAGGCUGAUACCGCCCAAGAGUUCAUAUCGACGGCGGUGUUUGGCACCUCGAUGUCGGCUCAUCACAUCCUGGGGCUGAAGUAGGUCCCAAGGGUAUGGCUGUUCGCCAUUUAAAGUGGUACGCGAGCUGGGUUUAGAACGUCGUGAGACAGUUCGGUCCCUAUCUGCCGUGGGCGCUGGAGAACUGAGGGGGGCUGCUCCUAGUACGAGAGGACCGGAGUGGACGCAUCACUGGUGUUCGGGUUGUCAUGCCAAUGGCACUGCCCGGUAGCUAAAUGCGGAAGAGAUAAGUGCUGAAAGCAUCUAAGCACGAAACUUGCCCCGAGAUGAGUUCUCCCUGAGACUUAGAGUCUCCUGAAGGAACGUUGAAGACGACGACGUUGAUAGGCCGGGUGUGUAAGCGCAGCGAUGCGUUGAGCUAACCGGUACUAAUGAACCGUGAGGCUUAACCUUACAACGCCGAAG
rnacentral:rRNA from 2 species